AGGCGACGUAGCCUGCAUUAAUGCCAACUUUUAGCGCACGGCUCUCUCCCAAGAGCCAUUUCCCUGGACCGAAUACAGGAAUCGUAUUCGGUCUCUUUUU
rnacentral:sRNA from 2 species